rnacentral:lncRNA from 1 species
CCUACUUAGCAUAAUGGAACAUUCGCCACUACCCUAUCAUCUAGAAUUCAGUAAUAACCCCCCCAAAAAAGGCUCGGUCGUAAUCGAUCGUAAACUUUCCAAAAAAAUGAGCUUUUUGGACAAGAAAUUGACAAUACAAUUUCUGCUGAGGAAUCUGGAAUUUAAUCCGCGCUGAUCUCUACUGCUUAUAUUCUUCUAUAAUGUAGGUCAUAGUUGUGUAUAAUCGGCAAUAAGUUAGGCCUGAAUUCCAUUAUGCUACAUCUAAUUACUUCAGUGAAUAAGAAAUAGGAAAUAGGAAUAGGAAUAGGAAAAAAAAAAUCUGUCACGCUCUACACGUUGCAGUUUGUUCGUUCUAAAUUUCCAUAGAAGUAGAAUGUUCAUAUUUUUUCCCCUCUAUUUUAAAACAAAAUGGAGCAUUUUUAAAGAAUACGCGCCUUUAAUUCGCUUGCAAAAAAUCAACAAAAAUAAACUUGGAUGUUGAAACCAUUA